AGUGGCCGACAGAGGGCGCCGAGAUUCGGGAGCCGGGGUGGGGCGGCCCCGGGCCUCCGUCUGCUCCUCCCACCCCCGCCGCGGCACCCACGCCCACUCGGCGGCGGGGGCCGGGUCUUGGGAAAGUCCCAGGGCGCACCUCGUGCCGGAAAUUUUUCUCACGCACCUGGAGUCGCAGAAUGCCCGGGCUGCAAGUGAUGUCAGGGGGGGCCUAACCUGCCAAAGCUCACACUCUGGAGAAGAUCUCUCAGUGUGACCUGGCCACGUAGCUCGGAUGGCCUGUUUGUCAACGUAAAUGAAGGGUUAGCUCAUCAACAAGCCCUGCCCACUGCCCACAAAUACACUAUCCUGAGCCCUCUUCUGAAAUCAUCACUCUUUACAGGUAUUGCAUCCAAAGUAGGUUUCUCUCCCAUUACAGCAGACAUCAAACAAAAAAUACGCCUACUCAAUGUGAAGACGAUGAGAAUGAAGCCCUUUAUGAUGAUCCACUUCCACUUGAUGAGUAAUAAUCUUAGAAGACGGCUCAUCAUAAGCAAUUUCUUACGGACCCCAAAAUGUGCUAUUUUUGGCUCAGAUGUCUAAAGUGUCAAGGUGGGAACACAUUCCUGUUCUUCGUUUAAAGCCUUUGAAUGUCAGUUGUUGGUCGAAGGAAAGGAGAAAGGUUCAGGUCACUGCUGAGCUGUGGGGAGGCAGCUUUAUUCUCCCUAAAGCCUUUCCCCAAAGAUCCUUCUAGCAUUUCAUUUUCCUCUUUUGUAAAAUGGGGCUGUUUUACUUCCUAAUUAAAGCCUGUGGAAGUACUUUUCAAGAAGAUGGUAAGAUGUACGAUGCUUGAGAAGUGAAAACUAUCAUUAAUAUAUUUUAAUCAUCGUGUUAAAUACCCACAUAGACUCACCCACCUCUUCACCAUUCAGGCAGAUUUUGCA
ensembl:lncRNA